GUACUGCUUGGCAUAUGCCCUUGUCACACUGUGUAUGGAUACUUUGACUAUUGGGGGAAAGGAACAAUGGUCACAGUAUCAUCAGCAGCCACAGCCACCCCUACUCUAUUCCCUCUUAUGAACUGUGGAACCGCUUCUAACAAUGUCUACAGCAUCGGUUGUCUCGCUACCGGCUUUUCACCUUCCUCACUCACAUUCAAGUGGAAAGAUGCCAGCGGGAGUCCGCUGACGGACUUCGUCCAGUACCCGGCAGUCCAGAGUGGGGGAGCCUACACAGGAGUCAGUCAGCUCCGUGUGGCUGAGAACGUCUGGGGAAACUCAAAGUCUUUCAUUUGUUCUGUGGAACAUCUUGGAAAGGAAACGACAGCAGUCAUCAAUAGACCAGUCCUAAAGUCUCCAACAGUGUCUUUGCUGUCGGGGCCCAUUGGCACCACCCAGUACCUGAUGUGUAUGAUUGAAGAUUUCACCCCCAAUAAAGUCACUGUCACCUGGAAGAAGAAUGACAUGGAGGUGGAGGGCCAAAUCACUACUGUAGGCAAACAGCUGUCAGGCCUCUACUCAGGCAGCAGUCUGCUGAAGGUCAACAACACUGACUGGAACAACAAGGUCAAGUACAGCUGUGUGGUGCAGCACCAGGGACCACCCACCAUCAAGACAAUCUCCAAAACAGAACCACUGACGGUGACUCUGAACCCACCAAGUGUGAAAAAGGUGUUCUUGGACAACCAAGCAGUGCUGGACUGUGUCAUCAGUGGUACAGACCAGGACACAGUGUCUGGUACCACUAUCACCUGGCAGUUCAAUGGACAGGACAAGAUGGAUGGCAUCGAUCUGAAAGAUAUUGAAUCAAAGGGCAACCUGAACAGCAGGGUCAGUACUCUGACCAUAGACCAGAAGGACUGGACCAAAGUGAAGACAGUCCAGUGUUCUGCCAUGAAGAGUGGUGAAGACACACCGGUCAUUCAGGACAUCAGCUUCACCAAAGGAAGUGAAGCCCCUUCAGUGUCCGUCCACCUUCUCCCGGAGGAAGACACCAGGAAGGAGAAGACUGUGACUCUGGUGUGCCUGGUGGUCAUCCCGUCUCUCUAUGACGUCUACAUCAUGUGGCAGGUGAACAGCAGCCAGUACCAGGAGGGGGUCACCAGCCCUCCUCAGAAAACCCAGAAAGGCGACUACUUCGUCACCAGCGUCUUCACCACCACUAAGAAGGAGUGGGAGGGAAACUCGGUUUUCACAUGCGCCGUCAAAGACCUCAGCUCGGACAACAAUACCACACCUCAGGGGAGGAAUGUGUCAAAGUCCUUGGAGAACAUCCUACUGACUGAGCCUGAGGCGGGCUUCGCUCUGAGCUGCACGGACAACGUUGAGGAUGAGUUCGGCAGCCUGUGGUCCACCACCUCCUCCUUUAUCAUCCUCUUCCUUCUCUCCCUCACCUACAGCACAGUACUCAGCCUCGUCAAGAUGAAGCAGUGAAGAACACAUGAUGGACUGUAGAGAUAGAUGUGUCUAGAUUAGAAAGAUAGUGGUCUGAGAUGGUUUUGGCGUACAGUAGUGUUCUUUAGUAAUAAUGU